CCUACGGGUGGCAGCAGUGGGGAAUAUUGGGCAAUGGGCGCAAGCCUGACCCAGCAACGCCGCGUGAAUGAAGAAGGCCUUCGGGUUGUAAACUCCUUUUAUUGAGGACGAAACAAAUUACGGUUCUCUAUUCAUAAGUCACCUCUAACUACGUGCAAGCCGCCGCGGUAAUACGUAGGUGCCAAGCGUUAUCCGGAUGUGCUGGGGGUAAAGGGCGUGUAGGCGGGACUGCAAGUCAGAUGUGAAAACCAUGGGCUCAACCGAUGGACUGCAUUGGAAACUGGAGUUCUUGAGUGAUGGAGAGGCAGGCGGAAUUCCGUGUGUAGCGGUGAAAUGCGUAGAUAUACGGAGGAACACCAGUGGCGAAGGCGGCCUGCUGGACAUUAACUGACGCUGAGGCGCGAAAGCGUGGGGAGCAAACAGGAUUAGAUACCCUUGUAGUC
rnacentral:rRNA from 1 species